GUUUUAGUUUAGAUAUUGUUAAUGCUAAUGGAAAUAACAGUGGGGACCGAGAACUUGAACCUGAGUCUUGGAGCACCUGUAUUGUGAGCUCUCAGCCAGAGCAAACUUGGUCAUUGUGAGCGUACCUGACACUGGGUUUGACCUAGGAAAAGGUUCAGUAAAUGCUUGGUCAAUGAAAUGAA